rnacentral:lncRNA from 1 species
AGAUCAUCACAAUGACUUGCAAGCAACUCACUAUGCUUUGGUGCCAGACUACCUAAAUUUUUAAUUUAGUAAUGAAAGAUUUUUUAGCACAGUCAAGUACUUCAGAAGUCAGUGUGUGAGUCAAGAUGAAAUUGACCCCUCUGAAUAAGUAGGAGUUAAUAUAUCAGUGUGGUUCUAUUCAGUAAAACCUCGAUCAGAGUAAUCCAUGUGA